rnacentral:rRNA from 1 species
GAUGAACGCUGGCGGCGUGCCUAAUACAUGCCAGUCGAGCGAACAGAUGAGGAGCUUGCUCCUCUGACGUUAGCGGCGGACGGGUGAGUAACACGUGGAUAACCUACCUAUAAGACUGGGAUAACUUCGGGAAACCGGAGCUAAUACCGGAUAAUAUAUUGAACCGCAUGGUUCAAUAGUGAAAGACGGUUUUGCUGUCACUUAUAGAUGGAUCCGCGCCGCAUUAGCUAGUUGGUAAGGUAACGGCUUACCAAGGCAACGAUGCGUAGCCGACCUGAGAGGGUGAUCGGCCACACUGGAACUGAGACACGGUCCAGACUCCUACGGGAGGCAGCAGUAGGGAAUCUUCCGCAAUGGGCGAAAGCCUGACGGAGCAACGCCGCGUGAGUGAUGAAGGUCUUCGGAUCGUAAAACUCUGUUAUUAGGGAAGAACAAAAGUGUAAGUAACUAUGCACGUCUUGACGGUACCUAAUGAGAAAGCAACGGCUAACUACGUG